UGGGGAAUUUUGCACAAUGGGCGCAAGCCUGAUGCAGCGACGCCGCGUGGGGGAUGAAGGCCUUCGGGUUGUAAACCUCUUUUAGCAAGGAAGAAGGGGACACGUUUUGUGUUUUUGACGGUACUUGCAGAAAAAGCACCGGCUAACUACGUGCCAGCAGCCGCGGUAAUACGUAGGGUGCGAGCGUUGUCCGGAAUUAUUGGGCGUAAAGAGCUCGUAGGCGGUUUGUUGCGUCUGCUGUGAAAGCCCGGGGCUUAACUUCGGGUCUGCAGUGGGUACGGGCAGGCUGGAGUGCGGUAGGGGAGAUUGGAAUUCCUGGUGUAGCGGUGGAAUGCGCAGAUAUUAGGAAGAACACCGAUGGCGAAGGCAGAUCUCUGGGCCGUUACUGACGCUGAGGAGCGAAAGCGUGGGGAGCGAACAGGAUUAGAUACCCCCGUAGUCC
rnacentral:rRNA from 1 species